GGCCACACUGGGACUGAGAUACGGCCCAGACUCCUACGGGAGGCAGCAGUGGGGAAUAUUGCACAAUGGGCGCAAGCCUGAUGCAGCGACGCCGCGUGGGGGAUGACGGCCUUCGGGUUGUAAACCUCUUUCACCAUCGGCGAAGCCUUCAGCUUUUGUUGGGGGUGACGGUAGGUGGAGAAGAAGCACCGGCCAACUACGUGCCAGCAGCCGCGGUAAUACGUAGGGUGCGAGCGUUGUCCGGAAUUACUGGGCGUAAAGAGCUCGUAGGUGGUUUGUCGCGUUGUUCGUGAAAUUCCCUGGCUUAACUGGGGGCGUGCGGGCGAUACGGGCAGACUGGAGUACUGCAGGGGAGACUGGAAUUCCUGGUGUAGCGGUGGAAUGCGCAGAUAUCAGGAGGAACACCGGUGGCGAAGGCGGGUCUCUGGGCAGUAACUGACGCUGAGGAGCGAAAGCGUGGGGAGCGAACAGGAUUAGAUACCCUGGUAGUCCACGCCGUAAACGGUGGGUACUAGGUGUGGGUUUCCUUCCUUGGGAUCCGUGCCGUAGCUAACGCAUUAAGUACCCCGCCUGGGGAGUACGGCCGCAAGGCUAAAACUCAAAGGAAUGACGG
rnacentral:rRNA from 1 species